GCCGGGGUGGUGGAAUUGGUAGACACAGGGGAUUCAAAAUCCCCCGGCUUCACGGCCUUGACGGUUCGAGUCCGUCCCUCGGUACCA
rnacentral:tRNA from 7 species